CAGUUAAAACAGAGUACAUUCAUGUGGUAUAUUUUGAAAUUGGCAUAUACAAUGAAAUAAGGAACAAGACUGCUUUCUCUCUAAUCACUUGCCUUAUUAGUUGGUCAUUGACUGUGAAAAAAGAAAGCCUUCCAGUUUUAUGAGAUAGAACUUAAAUGGUCCUUUGGAGAUUGUGAACUUCACAUCCUUAGAGGAAAUGUCAGGAAAAUUGAAGUCCUCAUGGUUUGGCUGAAUAUUCUUCCUGGAACUUUUUGAAACAAGAACUCAGUGUGCAACAGUUAAAUUGGAUAACUUUUUCACAGCGCGUAUCCCAAAACCCUGGGACCCUAGGUUACAUGCCAUUUCCACAUCUCCUCUUUUCCCACUACUUUGUUAUUUACUGAUUGGGUAGAGAAAAUGAGACUGUUUAUUAAAAUUCACACAUACAUAGAGACUUUAUUUAAACAUAGGUGUGUGUAAUUUUCAAUCAAAAUGGUGUCUAGUGUUUUGCUUUGUUCCCAGUACAAUAAAUUAUGUAUAUUUAAUAAUUUUAAAAAAUAAAACCAAUGAUGGAUACUCUUAAGGUUUAGGUUAAGAUUCCAAAUGCUACUAAUCAAGGUUUGAAACAGACAGUUCCUUUAAAGGGAUAAACAGGCAACUCAUGUAAAACAUACGCUAACUGGAGUAACAUAGGCUCUGACAAUUAACUAAAUAAAGAAAAUGGCAUCAUGGAGGGUAGAUGUUCAGAAUCCAGAAGCAAAUUUGGAGAAAUAUUAUUGUGAUAUAUAAGAAUGCAGAAAAAAAAUUCAGGAAAUGCAAAAAUGAUCUGUAAAAUGGUAAAUGUUUUAAAGAAAUUAUACCAUAUGCAUGGAACAUUUUAAUGACUUGUAGAUAUCUCCUCAUAUGCAAGGUAUCAUUCUGGUUGCUAUUUGCUAAGUGGCAAGAGAUAGCACCCUCUCAGUGGAAGAGUAGGGAAAGGGGAGUCACUGUAUUCUCACUUCUCAUGUACACCAGCUAACUAAUUUUGGAGCAACUGACAAAAUAUUAUCAAGCUGCAAUGUUAAAGAAAAAAGAGAUCCCAUUUGUCA
rnacentral:lncRNA from 1 species